GAUGAACAGAGGUCAAAACCUCAAAGAAAGUCAACGUGAUCCUCAUCCAUGGUGGAUGAGACCAAAACCCCAAAGAAAGUCAGUGUGAUCCUCAUCCAUGAUGGACGAGACCAAAACCCCAAAGGAAGUCAAUGUGAUCCUCAUCCAUGGGGGAAAGGACCAAACACCCAAAGAAAGUCAACGUGAUCCUCAUCCAUGAUGGAUGAGACCAAAACCCCAAAGAAAGUCAACGUGAUCCCCAUCCAUGAUGGAUGAGACCAAAACCCCAAAGAAAGUCAACAUGAUCCCCAUCCAUGAUGAAGUCAAAACCCCAAAGAAAGUCAGUGUGAUCCAUUGCCAUGAUGGACAAAAACAAAUCCCAAAGAAAGUCAAUAUGACCCUUAACUAUCCUGGACAAGACCAAAAUCCUAAAGAAAGUUAAUGUGAUCCCCCAGCCACGAUGGAGAAGACAAAAACUCCAACGAAAAUCAACGUGAUUCUCAACCCUCCAAAGCAGCCGCCACAGUCAGGCACUUCCCCUUUCCCACAAAUGUUCUACCAGACAUUAAAAAAAUAGAAAACGGAACGACUUCUCAUCCGUUUCCCCACUGUCAGGACAUGAAAAGAGCAACCCCACCGCUCUAAGGAUGAGCAACGUGCUACAGAUGGCACAACGGCCAAGGCAACACCGAAGCACAAAUGCACAGAGCUGUGAAAGAUGACACAAAUCAUCCAGCCAGCAGUGAGGCCAGCACCUCAAAGACAGAAGCACACCAUGCCAAAAGGUCUCAAAUUCUGGAAAUAGUGAAGCGCGCUCGAGAUGGGGGGAGCAGAGACCCAAAUCUUGAAGGUAUGCACAGAAAAUGUUUCUGCACGUCAUCAAAAUUAGCAGCAGAUGCAAAAGAGCUCUUCCUGUGCAUGCUUAGGGUGGGGAUUUUGUGCUCUGUGGUGGUUAUUUAUGGUUCCCAAUCCUAAACAGCUCAGGAAACAGUGGGAGCCCCGUGGCCACAGCGUGGCCUAAUAAGAAGGGGGAGGAGGAAUAAAGGGAAGAAGUUCAAAAGAAAAAAAAAAAAAGGGGGGGGACACAAACUAAAAAAGGGGAGAACAGGGGGAAAAUAAAAAAGAG